CUUGCCUAAGGGCAUGAAGGGCCACUCUACCUCUUAUCUCUAUGGCUGAAACGCUUGGUACGCUUUCAGAAUGAGGUGCGUUCCCGCCUCACUUUUAGGUGAAGAAUGGCAGUAAGUUUGGAAGGCGCCCUUCUUUCCUCCCGUUGAAAAUUUUGCUGCUUUUGAAGCUAUCCACCAGAAAAAUCCUUGUCUCGGCGCACAUUCAUGGCCUCUUACCGGUCUCAUGGUUGGCUACCACGAAAAAAACUAUAGAUGGCGCUCCCGGAGAGGGAGGGAGCGUCGAAAGAGGGAACCCUUACUUAAGAUGGCGGUCGAACGGACCUCAGUGGAGAUGGCAGCCCGCGAGAAACAGUGCCCUCAAUCAAAAUGGCGGCCAAUGAAAAGAGACGCUCAUCCCCCGCGGGUACGGCGGCGGCCGGGACCGGUCAGGGCCGGUCGGCCUUGUCAACGAAUGGCGUCGCCGAGGGCGAGGCGGAGUUCCUCCUGCAGUCCGGCGUGACCGACAUGGUGCGAGAGGCUCUUAUAAAAGUGCUCGAAGCCCGGCCGGAGAAGCCCGUCGAUUUCCUAGCCGGCUAUUUCGAGGAGCUGAUGCAGAGUAGCCCGGAGGCGGCGGCGGAGGCCUUGUCGGACGGCGGAGACCCCCAGCGGCAGCUGCGUCUCGACCGGGCCUUGUGGUAUCUGGGCCUGGCUCACCAUUCCCACAGGACGGCCUUUAACAACAACGUCCACUCCGCCUACGACGUUCUCAGUGCUGGGGCCAAGGGCAAGAAACCCGGUGUGGACGGGAAGACCUACAGCGAGCUCCUGCGGCUGCUGUGCCAAGAGAGGGCCGCCUCCGACGAGACCCUGCAGCCCCUCCUGCAGAAGGUCUCAUGCCGAGACCACGAAGCGGUGCCCUUCGACAUCUUCCGCUACGGCCUCCUCACCUGCCUGAUCCUCCUGGAGUUCCUGGCCAAGGCUGACAGUCUCUACGAUGCUCUCGAUGACGGCUCGGAUGCCGCCGACAAAAGGGUCUGCACGGCCGUCUUGGGCACCCUGGAAGACGCCCUCCACAUAACCGAUGCCUCUCCUCCCAUCCGGUGCUUGGAAGCCGGAUCCAAGCUCAGGCCAGACUGCUUGGCGAUGGCGAUGGACCGGGCGCUGUUGGAGAGGAAAGCCAGCGCGGCCAUGAAGAAGGACAAGUUCCUCAAGAGGGCUGCGUCCAUCUUUGUUACAAAAGUGAAGUCCGUUCACUAAACAGGGCAGGGAGCGGGCGUGGUUCUUCUCUCUGGCUUUCCUGAGUGGCAGAAAAUCUAUGAUGCUACAGGGUGCAAAUGGACACGGACAAAGGGGGACCCCUCUAAGGCAGGGGUGGCGAAUUAUGGCUCCUUUAGGACCCGUGGACUUCAACUCCCAGAAUUCCUGAGCCAGCAAAGCUUUGCGGACUGAGGAAUUCUGGGAGUUGAAGUUCACAAGUCUUUAAAGUGGCCAAGAUUGGAGACCCCUGGACUAGAAGAUCUUCAGGGUCCCUUCCAAUUCUGUUAUCCUCUUUUAAGUUCUAGCCAAACCAGCGCACAGUCUAUUUAACCAUCUCCGAGCCAUCCACUCUUCCUCCAAACCUCCAGGCAACUCCUCAAGUGGCUCUAUCCCAUUUUUGAAGCUGGCUUGGUUACCAAUGUGUUUCUGACUGCGACUUAAGGGCCUGGUUAUAACAUCAAAAAGUCCCUAAACUGCCUGUCUAAUAAUAAUUUGAGGAACUGGCCCUUUACAAGCUGACAGGGUCUGCAUGUUCCAGGCUCUUUCUAUUAAAUAAUAUCAUUUUUCAGGACCCCGGAAGUGUUGUCUUUUCUGUCAUGGUCCCUUGGAUGAGGUUAUCCCUGAGAUCCAUCCGUACGAUUUUCCAUAAAAUGUAAUUUUUUUCUUCUCCCACACCAUGGGC